GUGUCAGCAGCCGCGGUAAGACAGAGGGUGCAAACGUUGCUCGGAAUUACUGGGCGUAAAGCGCGUGUAGGCGGGACGAUAAGUCAGGUGUGAAAUCCCUAGGCUCAACCUAGGAACUGCAUUUGAAACUGUCGGCCUUGAGUGAUGGAGAGGAUGGCGGAAUUCCUGGUGUAGAGGUGAAAUUCGUAGAUAUCAGGAGGAACACCGGUGGCGAAGGCGGCCAUCUGGAAAUCUACUGACGCUGAGACGCGAAAGCGUGGGGAGCAAACAGGAUUAGAUACCCUGGUAGUCC
rnacentral:rRNA from 1 species